GGUUCAGGAUGAACGCUGCGGCGUGCCUAACACAUGCAAGUCGAACGAAGCAUACGGACUGGAGAUUCGUCGAAGGACUGUAUGACUUAGUGGCGGACGGGUGAGUAAUGUAUGAGCAACCUGCCUUUCAGAGGGGGACGAACAGUUGGAAACGACUGCUAAUACCGCGUAACGUAUCGUGGGGGCAUCCUCGUGAUACCAAAGGAGCAAUCCGCUGAAAGAUGGGCUCAUAUCUGAUUAGCUUGUUGGCGGGGUAACGGCCCACCAAGGCGACGAUCAGUAGCCGGACUGAGAGGUUGAACGGCCACAUUGGGACUGAGAUACGGCCCAGACUCCUACGGGAGGCAGCAGUGGGGAAUAUUGGGCAAUGGGCGAAAGCCUCGACCCAGCAACGCCGCGUGAAGGAAGAAGGUCUUCGGAUUGUAAACUUCUUUUAUGAGGGACGAAGGACGUGACGGUACCUCAUGAAUAAGCCACGGCUAACUACGUGCCAGCAGCCGC
rnacentral:rRNA from 1 species